rnacentral:rRNA from 1 species
AUUGAACGCUGGCGGCAUGCCUUACACAUGCAAGUCGAACGGCAGCACGGGAGCAAUCCUGGUGGCGAGUGGCGAACGGGUGAGUAAAGUAUCGGAACGUGCCCGGUCGUGGGGGAUAACGUAGCGAAAGUUACGCUAAUACCGCAUACGAUCUAUGGAUGAAAGCGGGGGAUCGCAAGACCUCGCGCGAUUGGAGCGGCCGAUAUCAGAUUAGGUAGUUGGGGGGGUAAAGGCUCACCAAGCCGACGAUCUGUAGCUGGUCUGAGAGGAGGACCAGCCACACUGGGACUGAGACACGGCCCAGACUCCUACGGGAGGCAGCAGUGGGGAAUUUUGGACAAUGGGCGAAAGCCUGAUCCAGCCAUGCCGCGUGCAGGAUGAAGGCCUUCGGGUUGUAAACUGCUUUUGUACGGAACGAAAAGGUUUGGCCUAAUAAGCUGAGCUCAUGACAGUACCGUAAGAAUAAGCACCGGCUAACUACGUGCCAGCCGCCGCCGUAA